GCAGUCGAGCGAACAGAUAAGGAGCUUGCUCCUUUGACGUUAGCGGCGGACGGGUGAGUAACACGUGGGUAACCUACCUAUAAGACUGGGAUAACUUCGGGAAACCGGAGCUAAUACCGGAUAAUAUUUCGAACCGCAUGGUUCGAUAGUGAAAGAUGGUUUUGCUAUCACUUAUAGAUGGACCCGCGCCGUAUUAGCUAGUUGGUAAGGUAACGGCUUACCAAGGCGACGAUACGUAGCCGACCUGAGAGGGUGAUCGGCCACACUGGAACUGAGACACGGUCCAGACUCCUACGGGAGGCAGCAGUAGGGAAUCUUCCGCAAUGGGCGAAAGCCUGACGGAGCAACGCCGCGUGAGUGAUGAAGGUCUUCGGAUCGUAAAACUCUGUUAUUAGGGAAGAACAUACGUGUAAGUAACUGUGCACGUCUUGACGGUACCUAAUCAGAAAGCCACGGCUAACUACGUGCCAGCAGCCGCGGUAAUACGUAGGUGGCAAGCGUUAUCCGGAAUUAUUGGGCGUAAAGCGCGCGUAGGCGGUUUUUUAAGUCUGAUGUGAAAGCCCACGGCUCAACCGUGGAGGGUCAUUGGAAACUGGAAAACUUGAGUGCAGAAGAGGAAAGUGGAAUUCCAUGUGUAGCGGUGAAAUGCGCAGAGAUAUGGAGGAACACCAGUGGCGAAGGCGACUUUCUGGUCUGUAACUGACGCUGAUGUGCGAAAGCGUGGGGAUCAAACAGGAUUAGAUACCCUGGUAGUCCACGCCGUAAACGAUGAGUGCUAAGUGUUAGGGGGUUUCCGCCCCUUAGUGCUGCAGCUAACGCAUUAAGCACUCCGCCUGGGGAGUACGACCGCAAGGUUGAAACUCAAAGGAAUUGACGGGGACCCGCACAAGCGGUGGAGCAUGUGGUUUAAUUCGAAGCAACGCGAAGAACCUUACCAAAUCUUGACAUCCUUUGACAACUCUAGAGAUAGAGCCUUCCCCUUCGGGGGACAAAGUGACAGGUGGUGCAUGGUUGUCGUCAGCUCGUGUCGUGAGAUGUUGGGUUAAGUCCCGCAACGAGCGCAACCCUUAAGCUUAGUUGCCAUCAUUAAGUUGGGCACUCUAAGUUGACUGCCGGUGACAAACCGGAGGAAGGUGGGGAUGACGUCAAAUCAUCAUGCCCCUUAUGAUUUGGGCUACACACGUGCUACAAUGGACAAUACAAAGGGCAGCGAAACCGCGAGGUCAAGCAAAUCCCAUAAAGUUGUUCUCAGUUCGGAUUGUAGUCUGCAACUCGACUACAUGAAGCUGGAAUCGCUAGUAAUCGUAGAUCAGCAUGCUACGGUGAAUACGUUCCCGGGUCUUGUACACACCGCCCGUCACACCACGAGAGUUUGUAACACCCGAAGCCGGUGGAGUAACCAUUGGAGCUAGC
rnacentral:rRNA from 1 species